rnacentral:rRNA from 1 species
ACCCGCACAGGCAGCGGAGCGUGUGGUUUAAUUCGUUGCUACACGAAGAACCUUACCUGGGUUUGACAUAUAGGUUGUAGGGAACUGAAAGGGACCGACCCUUCGGGAGCCUAUACAGGUGUUGCAUGGCUGUCGUCAGCUCGUGUCGUGAGAUGUUCGGUUAAGUCCGCUAACGAGCGCAACCCUCGUCGUAUGUUAUAUGUGUCAUACGAGACUGCCGGUAAAAGCCGGAGGAAGGUGAGGAUGAUGUCAAGUCAGCAUGACCUUUAUAUCCAGGGCUACACACACGCUACAAUGGUCUGUACAAUGGGUAGCCAAGCCGCGAGGCGGAGCCAAUCCUGAAAGCAGGCCUCAGUUCAGAUUGCAGUCUGCAACUCGACUGCAUGAAGCCGGAGUUGCUAGUAACCGCAGGUCAGCAAUACUGCGGUGAAUACGUUCCCGGGUCUU